rnacentral:rRNA from 1 species
UACGAAGGGGGCUAGCGUUGCUCGGAAUCACUGGGCGUAAAGGGUGCGUAGGCGGGUCUUUAAGUCAGGGGUGAAAUCCUGGAGCUCAACUCCAGAACUGCCUUUGAUACUGAGGAUCUUGAGUUCGGGAGAGGUGAGUGGAACUGCGAGUGUAGAGGUGAAAUUCGUAGAUAUUGGGAAGAACACCGGUGGCGAAGGCGGCGACCUGGUCCGACACUGACGCUGAGGCGCGAAAGCGUGGGGAGCAAACAGG